rnacentral:rRNA from 1 species
AUUGAACGCUGGCGGAAUGCUUUACACAUGCAAGUCGAACGGUAACAGGGUGCUUGCACCGCUGACGAGUGGCGAACGGGUGAGUAAUGCGUCGGAACGUGCCGAGUAGUGGGGGAUAACGCAGCGAAAGUUGUGCUAAUACCGCAUACGUACUGAGGUAGAAAGUGGGGGACCUUCAGGCCUCACGCUAUUCGAGCGGCCGACGUCUGAUUAGCUAGUAGGUGAGGUAAAGGCUCACCUAGGCGACGAUCAGUAGCGGGUCUGAGAGGAUGAUCAGCCACACUGGGACUGAGACACGGCCCAGACUCCUCCGGGAGGCAGCAGUGGGGAAUUUUGGACAAUGGGCGAAAGCCUGAUCCAGCCAUGCCGCGUGUCUGAAGAAGGCCUUCGGGUUGUAAAGGACUUUUGUCAGGGAGGAAAUCCCUAGUGCUAAUAACACUGGGGGAUGACAGUACCUGAAGAAUAAGCACCGGCUAACUACGUGCCAGCAGCCGCCGUAACAC